CCUACGGGGGGCUGCAGUGGGGAAUAUUGCACAAUGGGCGCAAGCCUGAUGCAGCCAUGCCGCGUGUGUGAAGAAGGCCUUCGGGUUGUAAAGCACUUUCAGCGGGGAGGAAGGCGGUGAGGUUAAUAACCUCAUCGAUUGACGUUACCCGCAGAAGAAGCACCGGCUAACUCCGUGCCAGCAGCCGCGGUAAUACGGAGGGUGCAAGCGUUAAUCGGAAUUACUGGGCGUAAAGCGCACGCAGGCGGUCUGUCAAGUCGGAUGUGAAAUCCCCGGGCUCAACCUGGGAACUGCAUCCGAAACUGGCAGGCUAGAGUCUUGUAGAGGGGGGUAGAAUUCUAGGUGUAGCGGUGAAAUGCGUAGAGAUCUGGAGGAAUACCGGUGGCGAAGGCGGCCCCCUGGACAAAGACUGACGCUCAGGUGCGAAAGCGUGGGGAGCAAACAGGAUUAGAUACCCCAGUAGUC
rnacentral:rRNA from 1 species